GACGGAGGACGCAAGCGUUAUCCGGAAUGAUUGGGCGUAAAGCGUCUAUAGGUGGCUUUUUAAGUCCGCCGUCAAAUCCCAGGGCUCAACCCUGGACAGGCGGUGGAAACUACCAAGCUGGAGUACGGUAGGGGCAAAGGGAAUUUCCGGUGGAGCGGUGAAAUGCGUAGAGAUCGGAAAGAACACCAACGACAAAAGCACUCUGCUGGGCCGACACUGACACUGAGAGACGAAAGCUAGGGGAGCGAAUGGG
rnacentral:rRNA from 1 species